rnacentral:lncRNA from 1 species
GGAAACUACAUCCUUCUUGGUGACACAUUUUCUAACCAGCUGUGCUGGCCAGCUCAUUCUGAGUUGUGUCGGCCUGAAUCGAACUCAGUCCUGAUCAUUUCCUGCUGUUUCCCGCAGCAACCCUGUUUGCUCACCUUUCCGUGCAAUGCGCCGAGAGGGUGCCACGCAGCAAUCAACACUUUCUCUAGCUCAAAUUUCAUGCGACCAUGCCUUUUCCCUCAAUUUUUUCCUUUUGACGCUUUGCAUUCACCCUGAUUCCGAGCACGGUUUGUGCAAAAUGAAAACUACACUUCUUUUCCUGGCCCUCCUCUCCGGCUGUUUGGCUCCAGCUGCCUUUCAGGCUUUCGCUGCCAGCCCCCGAAGUAGGCCACUACCGACAGGAAGACGCGAUGUACCGUAAUGCCCAUGGAAGAGUUGAUUUGCUUGAAACGGAAACGAUUGAGGGGUUGAAAACAACACUCCAGAAUACAUCGCUUUUUGCGGCAGUAUCGAUCAAUGAACGGUCCCAAAUAUUGACGUAACACUGGCCCCCUACUGGGGCCCUGCCAGAAGCCCUUACACGAAACCAGGACCCCCACCCUUUCUGGUGGUGGCUUCAUUUUCGCAAAACGUUCCAGGCCAAAUUAGUUCUCUACUUUUGACAAGAUGGAUCCCCUCAGACGCCUUCGUUUAUCUGUCAGGUGUAAAUGCUGUACACACCGGAUGCCGGCUGCGUGUAUCCAUGUGUACCGACGUGAAGCGCAUAUCUCGUAUAUCUCGACGUACGGCCGUUUCCUUUUGAACAGAAUAAUUGGAAGGACAGGAGGAGAUUGCAACUGUUGAGUUCUGUAUUCGUGCUACGCGAGGAAAAGGAGGGGUGGCAUCACUGAUGGGAACUACAGGAAGGCGGUUUGAACAAACCUCCCUACUACCCUACAAAUUUGGUGUAACCCUAACAACGGUGUCGAUCUGCCAGUUACACCAAAGUCCUGUUUUCGCGUUGAAAGGCGUGUAUAUGUGCUCACCAAUCGCAGCAAACAACGUCUGUUACAGCGUUUGCUCAUGGGCGGACUCAGUGCCCGGCAUUUCUAGACACCAUUGUGCGGAAGGUGUACACUCGCAAGCUCACACCUUUUCCUGACUUUCUCUCCUUGACGAUGUUUCCA